rnacentral:rRNA from 1 species
AUUGAACGCUGGCGGCAUGCUUUACACAUGCAAGUCGAACGGUAACAGGUCUUCGGAUGCUGACGAGUGGCGAACGGGUGAGUAAUGCAUCGGAACGUGCCCAGUCGUGGGGGAUAACGCAGCGAAAGCUGUGCUAAUACCGCAUACGAUCUGCGGAUGAAAGCGGGGGACCUUCGGGCCUCGCGCGAUUGGAGCGGCCGAUGUCAGAUUAGGUAGUUGGUGGGGUAAAGGCCCACCAAGCCAACGAUCUGUAGCUGGUCUGAGAGGACGACCAGCCACACUGGGACGGAGACACGGCCCAGACUCCUACGGGAGGCAGCAGUGGGGAAUUUUGGACAAUGGGCGCAAGCCUGAUCCAGCAAUGCCGCGUGAAGGAAGAAGGCCUUCGAGUUGUAAACUGCUUUUGUACGGAACGAAAAGGUCCUGGUUAAUACCUGGGGCUCAUGACGGUACCGUAAGAAUAAGCACCGGCUAACUACGUGCCAGCAGCCGCGGUAACAC